GUCUCCCCUCCCCCUUUCCUCUUUUUUGCCCCCAGUCUUGGACUUGGUAGUUGCAUGCAUUGGCUCCCAUUUGAACUAACAGUUCUGAAGGAGGUGGUGGCGGGCGGAGGUGAUGCCUGGGAGCCCUCCCUUGACAGCCCGGGCCUAGAAGAGUCUCUGCAGGAGGUAUCACCCAGACGGGCAGAUCAUGCUAGCAGCAACAGGGGUGGCUGAGAAGUGAAAGGAGCCAGCUACUGAGGAGGGGCCCCAGCAGCUCCUAAAACUCCUAUCAGGACAUGGAGUAUGAAAGACGAGGUGGUCGUGGUGACAGGACUGGCCGCUAUGGAGCCACUGAUCGUUCACAGGAUGAUAGUGGAGAGAACCGCAGCCGGGACCAUGAUUAUAGUGACAAGGAGUACGGUUCAUACCCACGAGAGUAUGGCAGUCCGGACGGCAAGCAUGAGUAUGACGACUCAUCUGAAGAGCAAAGUGCAGAGAUCCGUGGGCAGCUGCAGUCCCAUGGUGUCCAAGCACGGGAGGUCCGGCUGAUGCGAAACAAAUCCUCAGGUCAGAGCCAGGGCUUCGCCUUCGUCGAGUUUAGUCACUUGCAGGACGCUACACGAUGGAUGGAAGCCAAUCAGCACUCCCUCAACAUCCUGGGCCAGAAGGUAUCCAUGCAUUACAGCGACCCCAAGCCCAAGAUCAAUGAGGACUGGCUAUGUAAUAAGUGUGGUGUCCAGAACUUCAAGCGCCGAGAGUGCUUCAAAUGUGGUGUGCCCAAAUCAGAGGCAGAGCAGAAGCUGCCCCUUGGCACUCAGCUGGAUCAGCAGGCACUGCCACUGGGUGGGCGGGAGCUAAGUCAGGGCUUACUCCCACUGCCGCAGCACUACCAGUCCCAGGGAGUGCUAACCUCACAAGCCCUGUCACAGGGCUCAGAGCCAAGCUCCGAGAAUGCCAGUGACACCAUUAUUUUACGAAACCUGAACCCACACAGCACUAUGGACUCCAUCCUCGGGGCCCUAGCACCCUAUGCGGUGCUGUCCUCUUCCAAUGUGCGUGUUAUCAAGGACAAACAGACUCAGCUGAACCGAGGCUUCGCCUUCAUCCAGCUCUCCACCACCGUGGAAGCAGCCCAGCUGCUACAGAUCCUGCAGGCCCUGCACCCUCCGCUCACCAUCGAUGGCAAGACCAUCAACGUGGAGUUUGCCAAGGGUUCUAAGAGGGAUAUGGCCUCCAAUGAAGGCAGUCGCAUCAAUGCUGCCUCUGUGGCCAAUACUGCCAUUGCUGCUGCACACUGGGCAAUCUCACAGGCCUCCCAGGGUGGAGAGAGUGCCUGGGCUGCCCCUGAGGAGCCACCAGUUGACUACAGCUACUACCAACAGGAUGAGGGCUAUGGCAGCAGCCAGGGAACAGAUUCCCUCUAUGCCCAUGGCUACCUUAAGAACAGCAAGGGCCCUGGCAUGACUGGGACCAAAGGGGACCCAGCUGGAGCAGGUCCUGAGGCCUCCCUUGAGGCUGGAGCAGACUCUGUGUCACUGCAGGCUUUCUCUCGAGCCCAGCCCGGUGCUGCCCCUGGGCUCUAUCAGCAAUCAGCUGAGGGGAGCAGUGGCCAGAGCACUGCUACCAACAGCCAAUCAUAUACCAUCAUAUCACCUGCUGUGCUCAAGUCUGAGCUCCAGAGCUCUACUCAUCCCAGCUCUGCCUUACCACCGGCUAUCAGUCCCACUGCCCUAGAGUCCUACAGCCAGUACCCUGUUCCUGAUGUCUCUACUUACCAAUAUGAUGAGACAUCUGGCUACUACUAUGACCCCAAGACUGGUCUAUACUAUGAUCCCAAUUCCCAGUAUUACUACAAUGCUCAGAGUCAGCAGUACCUAUACUGGGAUGGGGAGCGGCAGACCUACAUACCUGCCUUGGAGCAGUCUGCUGAUGGACAUAAGGACACGGGGGCAUCAUCAAAGGAGGGAAAAGAGAAAAAAGAGAAGCAUAAGACAAAGACAGCCCAACAGAUUGCCAAGGACAUGGAGCGGUGGGCACGCAGUCUCAAUAAGCAAAAAGAAAACUUCAAAAACAGCUUCCAGCCUAUUGGUGCUCUACGAGAUGAUGAAAGGCGGGAAUCGGCCAUUGCAGAUGCAGGCUAUGCCAUCCUUGAGAAGAAGGGAGCGCUAGCUGAAAGACAGCACACCAGCAUGGAUCUCCCAAAGCUGGCCAGUGAUGACCGCCCAAGCCCACCUCGAGGGCUGGUGGCAGCCUAUAGUAGGGAGAGUGACAGUGAGGAGGAACAGGAGCGAGGAGGUCCUGAACGGGAAGAAAAGCUCACAGACUGGCAGAAGCUAGUCUGUCUGCUCUGCCGCCGCCAGUUUCCCAGCAAGGAGGCACUCAUCCGGCACCAGCAGCUCUCUGGGCUCCACAAGCAAAACCUUGAGAUUCAUCGGCGAGCCCACUUGUCAGAAAACGAAUUGGAAGCACUAGAGAAAAAUGACAUGGAGCAAAUGAAGUAUCGAGACCGUGCGGCUGAACGCAGGGAGAAGUAUGGUAUCCCUGAGCCACCAGAGCCCAAACGGAGGAAGUAUGGUGGCAUAUCUGCAGCCUCUGUGGACUUUGAACAACCCACUCGGGAUGGAUUAGGCAGUGACAACAUUGGCAGUCGAAUGCUCCAGGCCAUGGGCUGGAAAGAAGGCAGUGGUCUGGGCCGCAAGAAACAGGGCAUUGUGACACCCAUUGAGGCCCAAACACGAGUUCGAGGUUCUGGCCUGGGUGCCAGGGGCAGUUCCUAUGGGGUCACCUCAACAGAAUCCUAUAAGGAGAUACUGCACAAGACAAUGGUGACCCGAUUCAAUGAGGCCCAGUGAACAACUUUG